UGUUUUUGCUUUGUAAUUCAGUAAACUUUUUAUUGUCUUAAUAGCUGGGUACCAGAAUUCAUCUACAAAGUGAUCACUCUUACUUGGAAAGCUCACCUGUCAGGUUACUCUGAGUGCCAGACAAUAAUUGGAUGAACUAGCUGAAUGCAACACAAGGCAUGGAAGCGCAAGCAGUUACUUGUCCUGAGUUCAAGACCCAGCUCACGUGUUACGUCACUGUAUGCCAGUGCGCUAUUCUCCCGGCUGAGAUAGAUGGAAAUGUCUCCAGACACAUGCCAAUAUCCCUCCGGGAGCCAAACAAUACACCCUCCCCUCCAGUUUGGUGAAUAUCCAAGUUUGAUGACGAUUAAAUUAUUCUUGCCAGUGAGAGGUGGAAAUUGAGGAUUCUUCCUGGUUUCCAUCCCCCUUCCCUCACUCUGUCUCUCUCUGUCUCUCACACACACACACACACACACACACACAUGCAUACACACACAUCAUUGAUGCUCAUCUUCAUCCUCUCAUAUUA